rnacentral:rRNA from 1 species
GAUGAACGCUAGCUACAGGCUUAACACAUGCAAGUCGAGGGGCAGCGGGAUUGAAGCUUGCUUCAAUUGCCGGCGACCGGCGCACGGGUGAGUAACGCGUAUCCAACCUUCCGUACACUCAGGGAUAGCCUUUCGAAAGAAAGAUUAAUACCUGAUGGUAUGAUGAGAUCGCAUGGUAUCAUCAUUAAAGAUUUAUCGGUGUACGAUGGGGAUGCGUUCCAUUAGGUAGUAGGCGGGGUAACGGCCCACCUAGCCUACGAUGGAUAGGGGUUCUGAGAGGAAGGUCCCCCACAUUGGAACUGAGACACGGUCCAAACUCCUACGGGAGGCAGCAGUGAGGAAUAUUGGUCAAUGGGCGAGAGCCUGAACCAGCCAAGUAGCGUGAAGGAUGAAGGUCCUACGGAUUGUAAACUUCUUUUAUACGGGAAUAAAGUAUCCUACGUGUAGGAUUUUGUAUGUACCGUAUGAAUAAGCAUCGGCUAACUCCGUGCCAGCAGCCGCGG